rnacentral:tRNA from 2 species
GCCUGCUUAGCUCANAGGUUAGAGCAUCGCAUUUGA